rnacentral:lncRNA from 1 species
AGGAAAAGGGUUGCGUGAAAUUACAUAUGCACACGAAUCAAUCAGGAGGGCCACAGCAAACAGGGCGUUUUCAAUCGGCGUCAGUUCAAGGUGCAUGCCAGCAAAUAGCUGCAGCCCACACCAGGUUCGAGCAACAGUUUCACCAGGUUCGAGCAACGUUGACAGCAACAGUUUCGUCAGUAGCACCGCGAGACGGAGGCCAGAACGGGCGUGUGCUCCUCACACCAGGUUCGAGCCACCAUC